rnacentral:rRNA from 1 species
CCUACGGGUGGCAGCAGUGGGGAAUAUUGGGCAAUGGGCGCAAGCCUGACCCAGCAACGCCGCGUGAAGGAAGAAGGCUUUCGGGUUGUAAACUUCUUUUCUCAGGGACGAAGCAAGUGACGGUACCUGAGGAAUAAGCCACGGCUAACUACGUGCCAGCAGCCGCGGUAAUACGUAGGUGGCAAGCGUUAUCCGGAUUUACUGGGUGUAAAGGGCGUGUAGGCGGGAAAGCAAGUCUGAUGUGAAAACCAUGGGCUCAACCUGUGGCCUGCUUUUGAAACUGUUUUUCUUGAGUGCUGGAGAGGCAGACGGAAUUCCUAGUGUAGCGGUGAAAUGCGUAGAUAUUAGGAGGAACACCAGUGGCGAAGGCGGCCUGCUGGACAGCAACUGACGCUGAGGCUCGAAAGCGUGGGGAGCAAACAGGAUUAGAUACCCGGGUAGUC